rnacentral:rRNA from 1 species
GAGUUUGAUCCUGGCUCAGAACGAACGCYGGCGGCAGGCUUAACACAUGCAAGUCGAGCGCCCCGCAAGGGGAGCGGCAGWCGGGUGAGUAACGCGUGGGAAUCUACCUAUCUYUKSSGRAMMAMYUCCGGGAAACUGGAGCUAAUACCGCAUACSCCCUUCGGGGGAAAGAUUUAUCGGGGAUAGAUGAGCCCGCGUUGGAUUAGCUAGUUGGUGGGGUAAAGGCCUACCAAGGCGACGAUCCAUAGCUGGUCUGAGAGGAUGAUCAGCCACAUUGGGACUGAGACACGGCCCAAACUCCUACGGGAGGCAGCAGAGGGGAAUAUUGGACAAUGGGCGCAAGCCUGAUCCAGCCAUGCCGCGUGAGUGAUGAAGGCCCUAGGGUUGUAAAGCUCUUUCACCGAUGAAGAUAAUGACGGUAGUCGGAGAAGAAGCCCCGGCUAACUUCGUGCCAGCCGCCGCGGUAAUUCA